GACGAACGCUGGCGGCGUGCUUAACACAUGCAAGUCGAACGGUAAAGCUCCAGCUUGCUGGGGUGGAUCAGUGGCGAACGGGUGAGUAACACGUGAGCAACCUGCCCCUGACUCUGGAAUAAGCGCUGGAAACGGCGUCUAAUACUGGAUACGAGAAGGGUCCGCAUGGGCACUUUCUGGAAAGUUUGUCGGUUGGGGAUGGGCUCGCGGCCUAUCAGCUUGUUGGUGAGGUAAUGGCUCACCAAGGCGACGACGGGUAGCCGGCCUGAGAGGGCGACCGGCCACACUGGGACUGAGACACGGCCCAGACUCCUACGGGAGGCAGCAGUGGGGAAUAUUGCACAAUGGGCGAAAGCCUGAUGCAGCGACGCCGCGUGAGGGAUGACGGCCUUCGGGUUGUAAACCUCUUUCAGCAGGGAAGAAGCGAAAGUGACGGUACCUGCAGAAGAAGCACCGGCUAACUACGUG
rnacentral:rRNA from 1 species